AAACUUAGAAAAAUGACAUAGAACUAGUAAAUUCACAGUAAGUGUGAAAUAAAACAAAAAAUAUGUAAACCACACAUAAAACUAGUAAAUUAAUGAAAAAAAUGAUAAAUUAAUGUUCGAGUUGUAAAUUGUAAGAAGAACUUGUAAACAAGACAAAAACUUAGAAAAAUGACAUAGAACUUGUAAAUUCACAUUAAGUGUGAAAUAAAACAAAAAAUAUGUAAAUUACACAUAAAACUAGUAAAUUAAUGAAAAAAAUGGUAAAUUAAUGUUGGAAUUGUAAUUUGCACGAAACACUUGUAAACCAAACAAAAACUUAUAAAAAUGACAUAGAACUAGUAAAUUGACAUUAAUUGUGAAAUAAAACAAAAAAUGUGUAAAUCACACAUAAAACUAGUAAAUUGAUGGAAAAAUGAGUAAAUUAAUGUUGGAGUUGUAAUUUGUACGAAACACUUGUAAACAAAACAAAAACUUAGAAAAAUGAUAUAGAACUAGUAAAUUGACAUUAAUUGUGAAAUAAAACAAAAAAUGUGUAAAUCACACAUAAAACUAGUAAAUUGAUGGAAAAAUGAGUAAAUUAAUGUUGGAGUUGUAAUUUGUACGAAAAACUUGUAAACAAAACAAAAACUUAGAAAAAUGACAUAGAACUAGUAAAUUCACAGUAAGUGUGAAAUAAAACAAAAAAUAUGUAAACCACACAUAAAACUAGUAAAUUAAUGAAAAAAAUGAUAAAUUAAUGUUCGAGUUGUAAAUUGUAAGAAGAACUUGUAAACAAGACAAAAACUUAGAAAAAUGACAUAAAACUAGUAAAUUGACAUUAAUUGUGAAAUAAAACAAAAAAUGUGUAAAUCACACAUAAAACUAGUAAAUUGAAGGAAAAAUGAGUAAAUUAAUGUUGGAGUUGUAAUUUGUACGAAAAACUUGUAAACAAAACAAAAACUUAGAAAAAUGAUAUAGAACUAGUAAAUUCACAUUAAUUAUGAAAUAAAACAAAAAAUAUGUAAACCACACAUAAAACUAGUAAAUGUAUGGAAAAAAUGGUAAAUUAAUGUUCGAGUUGUAAAUUGUAAGAAGAACUUGUAAACAAGACAAAAACUUAGAAAAAUGACAUAGAACUUGUAAAUUCACAUUAAGUGUGAAAUAAAACAAAAAAUAUGUAAAUUACACAUAAAACUAGUAAAUUAAUGAAAAAAAUGGUAAAUUAAUGUUGGAGUUGUAAUUUGUACGAAAAACUUGUAAACAAAACAAAAACUUAGAAAAUUGACAUAGAACUAGUAAAUUCACAUUAAGUGUGAAAUAAAACAAAAAAUAUGUAAACCACACAUAAAACUAGUAAAUUAAUGAAAAAAAUGGUAAAUUAAUGUUCGAGUUGUAAAUUGUAAGAAGAACUUGUAAACAAGACAAAAACUUAGAAAAAUGACAUAAAACUAGUAAAUUGACAUUAAUUGUGAAAUAAAACAAAAAAUGUGUAAAUCACACAUAAAACUAGUAAAUUGAUGGAAAAAUGAGUAAAUUAAUGUUGGAGUUGUAAUUUGUACGAAAAACUUGUAAACAAAACAAAAACUUAGAAAAAUGAUAUAGAACUAGUAAAUUCACAUUAAUUGUGAAAUAAAACAAAAAAUAUGUAAACCACACAUAAAACUAGUAAAUGUAUGGAAAAAAAUGGUAAAUUAAUGUUCGAGUUGUAAAUUGUAAGAAGAACUUGUAAACAAGACAAAAACUUAGAAAAAUGACAUAGAACUUGUAAAUUCACAUUAAGUGUGAAAUAAAACAAAAAAUAUGUAAAUUACACAUAAAACUAGUAAAUUAAUGAAAAAAAUGGUAAAUUAAUGUUGGAAUUGUAAUUUGCACGAAGCACUUGUAAACCAAACAAAAACUUAUAAAAAUGACAUAGAACUAGUAAAUUGACAUUAAUUGUGAAAUAAAACAAAAAAUGUGUAAACCACACAUAAAACUAAUAAAUUAAUGGAAAAAUAGGUAAAUUAAUGUUACAGUUGUAAAUUGUAAGAAGAACUUAUAAAUAAAACAAAAACUUGUAAAUGUUGCAUAAAACUUGUAAAUCAACAUUAACUUGUAAAAGUUUCAUAAAACUUGUAAAUCACACGUAAAAUUGGUAAAUGUAACCUGGAACUUGAACAAAAAAGAGUAAUUACCUGCUACUUAGGUAACAGGUUACCUAUUUAUUUAGAAUUAAUGGUAGAGAUUUUUUAUUCAAAUCUAACGGUCCACGUCCAUUACGGCAUCAAUGCCGUAAAUUUAAUUACGGCAUUAUAGAAUGACCCUUCCAUAAUUAUAUCUUCAAAAAAAAUCUUUCAUUUUACUAUACUUUCAUUAAUUAUCCUUUAUUGUUUCUAGUUGUAGUACGGCAACUCUCGAAGCUAGUCUUAAUAGACAUCAGUUCAAUGUUAAUGUCGUAACUGACAUUAAAGCAGUGAAAAUGAGUUGCAUACAAAAACAAGAUAAAAUAUUAAGUGCUAGCCCCCUUCUUGUCUGUUAAAAUAUAGCAAAAACCCCUAAAUAUUUCAAAAUCUAGCAAAACCUCCUGUCUUCGGUAUUAUUAAAGUUUAAAAUUCGGAGUUAUCAUUUAAAUUGGGCCCACACAUGAUUAUUUUUAACCCCGUCAAUGUUGUCACGUGUACACCACCAAAUCGGGUGUCUAAAUUGGAUUAACCGUUUGAUUUAUUCAAUAAUUAACGGUAAAGUAGCCACUCCUCCCUUCUCGCUUCUAUGCUCCGUGGGUCCUUUGUAACCUAAUUCCCGUAAACAACGAAUUUGUUCUAAUCUUUACCCAAGGGAUGUGUAUGAGGUCCAUUAGAUCCACGUUUCUUUUGCAACAAAGCCGCUUACUACAUUGCCUUAGGCCCCUUAGCUAAUGGCUAUUUACUAUUUAGACCACUUGCUGGUGGUUAAAACUCUUCUUCCUUUAUAGAUAGAAUGAAUGACUUUGAAUUUUAUUAGAAACCUCAUUUUUUUUUUUUUGGUAAAUAUAUUUUUGUAAGGGUUAAGUAGCUCCGAUAAUGACUUAAUGUAAUGAGAGUAAACUGUAAUAUAAAAUUAAAAAAAAAGAAGGUUUAUAUUAUUUAAUUAUCAAAUGGCUAGGCUUUGGAGUUUUUUUUUGGGGGGGGGAGACAAAAAAAUUCUUAUUAAAUAGAACAAAAUUUAAAAAAUGACAAGCUAAGUGAUGCAAAAAAUCUUCCAUCAUUACAAAACAACUACGGGAACGAACUAUAAAGUUAGCUAAAGCAACUUCAUCACAAUUAGCUUAGGAGAAAUUUUGAUCUCUAGAGAGUAUAUUAAUUAUCAAACAAACAGAAACACCGUUAAAAAUAUAAAUAAAUAAAAUAAAGAUAAAAUCUCUAAAUAGGUUAUACUUUGUCAUAUGUAGAGCAGGAACCUUAUUAUGAAUCAUAAAUAAAAAUAUAUAUUAGUUAUAUUAUAAAUUUUAGGGAAAUUAUCAUUCGUAUAUCCUAUAUUUACUCUGUUAUAAAAAAUACUACAAUACUUUGAGGGUGUAUCAAUCGUCCACCCUUAAUUGACAAAAUGUAUCAGCCGACCACCAAACCAUUAGUUACCGUUUGAAAGUUAACGGAAUUACAGUGAAUUGACGAUUUUACCCUUGAAAAUUAUCACUUGUAUACCCUUAAAUUCUCUUUUUAUCACUUGUAUACCCUUAAAUUAUCACUUGUAUCAUAUGAAAAGACCAAAUUACCCUUCUGACGUCAUCAUACUUAAACGGCAACUAACGGUUUGGUGGUCAGCUAAUACAUUUUAUCAACUUAGGGUAGACGAUUGAUACACCCUCAAAGUGUUGUAGUAUUUUUUAUAAUGGAGUAAACUAAGGGUAUACAAAUGAUAAUUUCCCUAAAAUUUAUUUAUUUAAAAUCAAUUCUUACAACGUUCUAAAAUGUCAAAUUAUUAAAUAAAAUUCUAUUCUACUAUUGCUAAUCUAUGAAAUUUUAAUUCAAUUAUAUUAUUUUCGCUUAUUGCUUCUUUACUCAAAUUACAUCUUUUUUACCACUCUUUUUUUAGAUUAAACUAAUUUUCCUAUUUUCUAUUUUUUAAAGUUUUUCGACACAGUUUUAUUUCAAAAUGGAUAAAAUAAGCACACAAAUAAUAAUAAUAAUAAUAGUAGAUGAACAAAAGAAUAAAUUAAAAAGAAAUAAGAACAAUUAAAUAACACAACUAAUUAAGAGAAAAAUAAAAAGAUAAAAUCUGAAAUUUGUGAUGAAAUCAUAAACUAACUUUAUCUUUAAUUGUUUGAGAAUUUAAGCAAUGAGUAGUAUUAAGGGUGUUCAGAAUCCAAUCUGAUCCAUUAAAUCCAUAUGGUCCGCAGAAAUCCGAUCUCUGGAUUGGUGGAUUAGAUUAGAUUUGAAAAUUUGAAAAUCCACAGUCAUUAUAUUGGAUAUGGAUUUACUUCUGUGAAUUCGCAAAAAUCUACGAAUCCGCAAAAAAAUAAAAAAUAUUUAUUUAAUAAAAAAUUAAACUUUUAAAUAUGGAAUUAUACUUACUAAUAAAUAAAUAAGUUAAACUAUACAUUAACACCAUAUUAUGUCUUAUCCGAUAGUAAUAUAAAAUAAAAAUAAUUAAAUAAAAAAACAUAGUUUCCUAAGUAAUUAAUUUUCAUGUAUUGAUCUAAACAAAUGAGAUUUUUUUUUCUUUUUGGUGUGUUAUAUUUUGAAACUUUGAAUGUAUUUUCUAACUUUAUUUAAACAAUUAAUUAAUUUAAAUAUUAUUUAAUUUUAAAUUUAAUCGGUAUUAAAAUUAUUUUUAUAUUAAUUUUUUUACUUAAAGUUUGAAACAUUCAAUCAAAAUCUCUUUUCUCUCCCUUUUCUUUUUAGCGGGUUUAAAAAUCAGUAUUAUCGCAAUGUGGGCACAUUCAGUUAUUGGAUCAACUGAUGAGAUACAACCUAAAUAGAAAAUAUGCAACGCUCUUAGUUAUUACGUACAGAAGGUAACAAAAUUCUCCUCUGCCACUUCCUCCUGCCUUCGACAGUGGCUUCUCAACGAUCUUUUGUUAUAGGCGUUGGCACAAAUAAAGGACGUUGAUAAUUGAGGGAAAAAAUUAAAUAAAUAAAUAAAAAAGGACGGUUGAUUAAUGCUGUCGGUAAUAAAAUAGUGUUGGAUGGGUAGACUUGCGCCUUGACGCAAAAUACGGGAAAGAACAAGCGAACCUGUAAUUCUUGAUAUCUAUGAUGGAGGUGCUGUGAUUUUUCUGGUACCGUGGCUGCUGUAAAAGAAAAAUAUAAUUAUAAAAUAAAAAUUAAUAACAUAUAAUAAAUAUAAUUUUUAAAUAAUAAUUUUAAUAAAAUUAAAAAUAUAAAAUAAAUUUUAUUAUAUAAAUAUAAAUAUAAAAUUAAUUUAAUUUAAUUUUUAAAUUAUAAUAAUUAAUAUUUAUUAAAUAUUUUAAUAUUAUAAUUUUUAUGUUACAAUUAUUCGAUCUCAAUUUCAAACAGUACCUUAAUCGAAUUAGUUGGCAUCGAGAUUCUUCUCCAACUAGAGAGGAACGUCAUAAAAAAUAAUUGUGAGAAUAUCAAUGGGGUUCAAUUGUUCAAACAAGUCCACGCACUUUUUCUCAUUUGUUUCUCUUUUUUAUACAUGACAAUUUCGUAUUUAGUUUAUCAACAUAUAUAUACACUUAUCAUAGAGUUUAUAUUUAUAUUAAUGCACGUGUUACUAUUCAUUAAUUAAAAUAUGCUUUAAAAAAUAAUAAACACCAAGGUUAUUAUCUUUGAUGAAUUCAUAAAUUAUUUAAUAAGUACCAUAAUUUAUUAUUAUAUUUUUAUAAAAAGUUCCAUUUUACUACAUUUUCACUUAAUAUUGUUGGUCCUUUACUGUUACUAAUUGUAAGGUGACGGCUAAUGAAGCCAAUCCUAACAGAAAGUCGUUCAACGUCGAUGCCAUACCAACAUUGAAGGGGUAAAAAUGAGUUCACAUAUAAAACCAAGAUCAAAUCCUGUAAGCUAUUAUCGUUAAUUAUUGAAUAAAUCAAACAUGUUAAUCCAAUUUGGUGGUGUACACGUGCGAACAUAGAGAAGGUUGAAAAUUUAAGAUGUGGGCUAAUUUUAAAUUAUAACUCCGAAUUUCAAACAUUGAUAAUAUUCACAACAAGGAAACAUUUUAAAAUAUAUUGGAGCUAAUACAAUCAACUAAUAUAUAUAUAUAUAUAUAUAUAUAUAUAUAUAUAUAUGGCAUGUGUAUUUGAAUUUAAUAUAAUCUCACUUGAAUGAUGAUAGUUCGAAAUAAAUGCAUAAAUGUCAUAAUAUGAUUUACUUAUUGUAUGAUUGAUAUGGUAUCUUCAAUGUAUUUUAAAAGUUCUCGACAACAGAAGGUUUUGUUGAAUUUUAAAAUAUUAAGAGGUUUUCGCUAUAUUUUAAUAAAUAAGAAGGAGGUUUUACUCAUUUCCCUUAAAUUAAUUUUGUAAACUAAGGUUCUUAGAUCCAUAUUACUUUGGCAACAAACCCGCUUACCACAUUGCCCUUAGCUAAUAGCUAUUUAUUAUUUAGAGCAUUUGUCUGAUGGUUAAUAAUCUUCUUUCUUGGUAAAUAGAAUGACUUUGAAUUUUAUUAGAAACCUCAUAUAUUUUCUUAAUAUAUUUAUGUAAGUGUGAAGUGCACCUGUAUCCGGUGCUCCGAUAGGAAUGUAAAUGAGAGUAAAUUGUAAUUUAAAUUAUGGAAAAAAUAUUUGUAUUAUUUAAUUAUCAAAUGUUUAGGCUUAGGAGAAGGUGUUCUUUUUUCUUUUUAAAUACAAGAAUUAUCAAUAAAUAAGUAAAUAAUAUCUAAAAAAAACAAGUUAAGUUUCGUGAAAAAUCUUCCAUCCUUAAAAAAAAAAAGGAGAAUGAAUUGGAAAUUUAGCUAAAACAUAUACAGAUUUAUUAUAAUUGGUUUUGGAAAAAAUCUUACAAGUAGAUCCUACUUUAGAAUUCAUAAAUUCUAAUAUUUAAAAAAUAAAUGCUAUGCUAAACGACAUCAUAAUUUAAGUAGUUGGUCCUACCUUCAGCUGAGGUGAUAGGGCGGCCGAUAGAAUUUUCUCCCAUAAGUAACGACAUAAUAUCUUAGAUUCGAAAUCUUUAAAGACAAAAUUAGAAAGUGGUGUAAUUGUAAUGUUUGGUACAAAUGUGGCAAAGUAUAAUGGGAUAAGUCCAUUGAAGCCAGGUGAUCUCGUGAACAACGUGUGAUCUAUUAUUAUGUAUUGUCGUGGAAAUGAGAAGUGUCUAGUUGUAAAGCGAAGUCUCCGCUAGAGAAAGUCAGAAGAAAAGGACCAUUGUUGAUUGACGAUAUCAGUAAUAAAAUAAUCCUGGAUGGCUAGACUUGGGCGUUGACGCCGAUUCAACGAAAAGAGAGAAAAGAUUGAAAACGAAGGUAAAAUAUCUUUAAAUAAGUUUAAUCUCCAUCUCAAUGAUAACAAGUUUAAGUGAUGUUAAAAAUCUCCCUUUAUUACAAAACAAUUACGAAGAUGAAGUACAAACUUAGAUAAAUAAAUUAUCUAUAAUAUUAUUAUAAAUGGCUUAAGAGAAGAUCUUAUACCUUAAAGAACAUUAUAAUUAUUAAAUAAAACAAAUAAACAACCCAAUAAAAUAAAAAAUAAAAAAUAAAAUAGAGACGGAGAAUCUUUGAAUAUUUAUAUAUUUAAUAAAAUUUAUAUUAAAUAUUUGCUUUCAUAUAUAUAUAGACACACACACACCAAAAAUAUUACACAUUUUCAAUAUUGAAGUUUUAAUUAUAUAUAUGUAAAUAAUAUUAUAUAUCAAUAUAAUAAAAUAUGCAAAUCUACCGAUAUUUUUCACAUUUACACUAUUAAAAUUUUAAAUCAAUAUAAAAUUUUAAAUGAAAUAUUGUGUAUAUAUCUAUCCUUUCAAAAAAAGAAUAAAAAAAAGAGAAUUAUGUUCAAUAUUUUAGUUUUAAUGGAAAAAACUUAGAAAUCAAUUUAAAAUUAAAAAAAAUAUAAUUGUAUUAUUAGUUGAAUAAAUACGUUAAGAACUUUAAUCUUAAUCUGACAAAGAAAAAAACAUGUUGACUUUGACCUAAUUCAUUUAAUAAUUGUGUCAAAUUUAAUAAUUUAUAUAUAUUUAUUCAUACCAUGUUCAUGUCGAAUAAUCGAGUAUCGCAUCAAAUUUUGACAGCCUUACUUUAAUAUAAUUGUAAAAAUACUCUAGGUCAAACUUAUCAGCUAGCUAGCUGAGUAAUACACCGUACAAUAAUGAACUGACAAAUAAAAUUCUUUAAGGAUAGACUCAAAAGAGAGAGUUAUAGGGGGAUCGGACAUCAAAACAAAUUUGUUAACCUAUUGUGCCAGUUUGGAUCUUUUUAUUUAGCUGGAAAAGAAAAAGGAAAAUAAUAAUGGAACAAAAGUAUGAUAAAAUCAUGACAAAAUUUUUUUUUUUAUGAAUUUUUAAAUUUUCUUUCGUAAUUUAACAUUUUUCUUUUUAAAAAAUUCUCUAAAUUAAUUAAAUUAUAAAAGUUUUUAUCAUUAUGUCGUCAUACUUUUAUUCAUCUAGAAUUGGUGAAGGUAAAAAAUGAUUGACGCUAUCGAUAAUAAUAUAAAAUAAUAUUGAAUGCCUAGACUUGGCCGUUGACGUCUUGGCGCCGAAAAGGAAAAAGAAGAAAAUAAUUGGUAAGGAUCGAACAAGCGAAAAGUCACAGAAAAAUAAUAAUUACAGUUUUAUACGAGACAUUAUUGACUAGCGGGGUUCAAAUAAACCUUUCCCCACCCAUUUUUUAAAUAAAAAUUAAUAAUAUGUAAUAAGUAAAAUUUUUAAAUAAUAAUUUUUAAAAAAUAUUAUUAAUUUUUAAUAAUUAAUUUAACUUUAUACUACAACAAUUAAUUUUUAUUAAUUAUUUUAAUGUUAUAAUUUUUAAUUUACAACUUACAACUGUUGGACCUUAAUUCUAAAUAUAGUUGUACUCGAAUUAGUUGGCAUCCAUACUCUUCACCAACCAUAGAGAAAGUUAAAAAAAAUAAUUGCGAGAACAUCAUGGGAUACAAACAAUACUACUAGUCCACGCACUUUUUCUUGCUUUCAUAUUUGCUUGUCUUUAUGGACGUGACCAUUUCGUAUUUUCGGGUUUAGUUUGUCAUCAUUUUUUUUAUAUGUAUACUUAUCAUACAGUUUAUAUCCAUAUUAAUACGCGUGUCACUAUACAUUAAUUAAAAUAUGCUUUAAAAAAUAAUAAACAAUAAGGUUAUUGUCGUUUGACUAAUUCAUAAAUUAUUUAAGAAGUAUGUUAAUUUAUUAUUUUAUUACUAUAUUAAAAGAAAUUUUCCAUUUUACUACAUUUCAUUUACUGUUGGUCCUUUAUUGUUACUAAUUGAAGGGGUAAAAAUGAGAUCACAUAUAAGACCAAUACCAAAUCCUCUAAGCUACUCUAUCGUUAAUUAUUGAAUAAAUCAAACGUGUUAAUCUAAUUUAGAGGUGUAUACGUGACAGCAUAGUGGAGGUUGAAAAUAUUGAGAUGUGGGCCCAUUUUAAAAUAUAACUCUGAAUUCCAAACGUUAAUAAUAUUCACGAGGGAGAACAGCUAACCAAACAAGCCCACUAGCUUCUUCCCCACCACUUGUACUCAAAAACUCAAAUAUCAUGAACUCUGAUCUGUACGAGGCUGCUGCAAAGGGGAAAUUGAACCCUUCAACCAAUUGGCGAUAGAUCGUCAACUUGGAAGCCUAGUGACUCACAAAAAGAAUACCGUCCUGCACGUCAGCAUAAUUGCAUCCUACACCCAGAAUAAAGAAGGAAAAAGUGUCUCAACCAAGUUUGUGGAACGGAUACUUGAAAUGUGUCCAUCAUUGCUACUACAAGUUAAUGCCAAAGGUGAUGCCCCACUCCAUGCUGCGGCCAGAUGCGGGCAUGCUGCUGUUGUGGAAGCUCUGAUUGAAUUUGCGAAAAAACAGCCCGGUCAAGAGCUAGAAAGUGGCGUGGAAAGUACAGCAAAGCAUAUGCUAGGGAUGAAAAAUGAGGAAGAAGACACAGCGUUGCACGAGGCAGUGCAAAGUGGUAGCCUUGAUGUCGUGGAAAUUUUAUUGGGAGCAGACCCUGCUUUUACGUAUUCUGCUAACGGUAGCGGUGAAACUCCACUUUACUUGGCAGCCGCGAGGGGACAUAAGAAGAUAUCAGCUGAAAUAUUAGAAAAAUGUCCGUUGGCGGCCCAUGAAGGCCCCAAUGGAAAGACUGCCCUUCAUGCAGCAGUCUGCAGUGGCUCUCGCGGUAUGGAUGCGCAUGGUUUCGUACAAAAUUUAAUACCAUAAUUGUUUUUUAAAUUGUUCGGUUUUUUAAUAAAAUUUUUAAAGAUUAAAUAAUUUAUUCUAAUAAAAAUAUAAAUUUUAACCUUUUAAUAACAGAGUUUGAAAACUUUUUAAAAUAUUUAAAUAUCUAAAAUAUUUUUUAUUUGUUUGACAAUUUAUUUUAUAACAUAAUUUAAAAAAAAUUAUUCAUUAAAAUAAUUUUAUAAUUUUAAUCAAAUUUUUAUUGGCAAUCAAAAAAUUAAAUUUUUUUUGAUAAAAAUUUUACUAACAGGAACUAUUCUUAAAUGGAUUUUAUUUUAAAAAUAAUAUCAAACAUAAGCUUAGUUGUUUAAUUUUCUUUUCUUUUUAGGUGUGAUACAACUAUUACUUGACAGAAAGAAAAGUUUGACCAGAGAAAGAGACCAACACGGUUGGACUCCACUCCAUUACGCUGCGUAUAUUGGUCGCUUCGGCUUCUUAAUAUUAGAAGCUUAUAAAUCUGUUGCGUUGAUUCCUGACGAAGAUCGGAAGAUGACAGCUCUUCAUUUAGCAGCCGGCCAAGGGAAUGUUUGGAUGGUACAAGAAAUUAUUGAGUGUUGUCCGGAAUGUUGUGAAUUGGUUGAUGACAGAGGAUGGAAUGUUCUUCACUUUGCUAUGGUUAGUUUUUAUAAAAGUGAAUUGAAACGUCUGCUGAACGAAUAUCCGAUCGUCAGAAAUCUAAUUUUUGAGAAGGAUGCGAAGGGGAACACUCCCUUCCAUGUGCUUGCUGCUGUCUGUCCGCAUCCAGGCAAAGCCGGCUAUGACAUCAUCCCUUACAAAAUUGCUAAAGGUUAUUAUCAAGCUGUCAACAAUCAAAAUAUUAGUGUUGAACACAUAAAUCGUUAUGGAUUUCCUGAACUCGAGGUACUUAAUUCCUUUUUUUUAACUCAUCAAUGUUAUAGUUUUUAUAUGGAUAUCAGCAAUGAAAUUAGAUUUUGAUUUAUGCUAAUUUUUUCUAGAUCUUUUGUCAAGGGUGUUUUUAUAACAAUUAUUUAUUUAGGAUUCAAUUAUAUGCAUUUGUUAUAUGAUACGUAAACAAAACAUUAUUGAUUCUGAUAUCAUAUAUGAAAUUAAUUUUCAGCAUAUUAAUUAAUAAAAUGUAUAGUCCAGCGCGUUAAUGUUGUUGCCACGUCAAUUUUUCCUCCCUCUUCCCCCACGUUUUUUUUUUUUUUUUAAAUUACUUUCUUCUUGUUACAUUUAUAAUUUAGCAAAUAUGAUUGCAGAAAGAAAUCAAAGAAUUGGCCAAAGCUGAUGGCAAUGGACAAUAUCCAGCCGGUGUCAUCAAAAUGAACAAAGAAAAAGAAGAAAAGACUGUGAUUUAUUCGUAUUGGAAAGAUUUAGAUGAAGAUGUCAUUGGAAUGGAAAAAGCAUCAGAAUAUCAUUUGGUAGUGGCAGCACUCAUAGCAACAGUAACCUUUGCUGCGGCAUUCACCUUACCCGGUGGUUACAAGAGUGACACUGAAGACGGCCCAAAUAGGGGCACUGCAAUUCUCAGUAAAAACGCAGCUUUCCAAGCAUUUGUUAUAUCAGACGCCAUAGCCAUGGUCCUCUCACUUUCUGCUGUUUUUGUCCAUUUCAUUCUGUCACUUAAGUUUUUUAAAAAAUUCAUCUUUUUAUUCGUUUUUGCUCUUUCCUUCACCUUAGUUGCCAUGGCGGCAAUGAUAGUAGCAUUUGUUACGGGCACAUAUGCAAUGCUGGCAACACCUUCUUUGUGGCUUGCCAUUGUUACUUGUAUCAUUGGCUUGACCUUCUUCCUCUUGGUGAUUUUCAUGUUUUACAUGGUUUUUUCAAGAGCAGAGGAAAAGGAAUUCGAAGAUUAGCUUAUGGUUGCAGCAGAAGUAUUAUUGUAUACCUCUUUCUAAUCUAUGAUUGUGUUACCAUCAUCCUACUAUUAUGAUCUGGAGUUAUAAGUUGUGAUUGAAAUUUAUUACAUUAUCUUAUUUGGUUUAUUGUUUCAAGGUUGUAUCAAAUACUGAGAGCUUGAAAGAAAUGAUCUCAUCUAUUUAUGAUGUAGAAUUAUUUGUUGCAUAAGCAUUCCAAAUUAAUUUUAAUCAGGAAUCUUCUCUACUCAUUUCAAGACUGGCAGAACGAGUACUAGUUGUUUCGAUGCGUAAAGUUUCUUUUUAACCUAAUUAAGUAGAGAAACAAAUUUGAUAUUUCACAUUGCUAAGAGCAUACUCUUUCAUCAAAAUCAAUUAUAGAACGAUAAAACAAAUUCUAGUUUUGCAAUUUCUACGGUCGAAGUUGAUACAGUUAUUUUGUACAACCAAAUUCCAACUCCUAACACUUGCUAAAUUUAAAAAUCAACUAAAGUAGAACAACAAAAUAAUUACAAGCCGGAUAAGCUGAUGCUAACAGUUUCUACUUUCAAGAGGUUAACAAGACCAACGGGAAAUUGAAAGUAGCAGUCCAGCAUUUCUAAUUAGCAUUUUAAAAUUUUCCAUCUAGACAUGCUUUUCCAGAACUGAACAAACAUAAGGUUAAAGGUUACUGCGCAAAAGCUUCAUAAACAAACUGGUCCUAGAAAAUCACCUUCUAAAUGAUUACUCACAUUAUCAUCUUAAUUAUUAUAUUGUGAAUUGUAUAAGAUAUUCAUGUGUAUGCGUAUGGUAUGCUACGUUAUUUGUAUCAAAUUUUAGUAGAGCACGACACACUCCUUCUCCCUUUCUCUCUCUCUCUCUCUCUCUCUCUCUCUCUCUCUCUCUCUAUACAUACAUACAUACAUACAUACAUACAUAUACAUAUACAUAUACAUACACAUACACACACACAUACAUACAUAAAUUAAAUAAAUUUUGUUCGGUUCUUUUAAUAAGAUUUUUAAAGAUUAAACAAAUUAUUUUAUUUUUACUAAUAAAAAUUUUAAAUUUUAAUAUUUUAAGAAUAGAAGUUGAAUUUUUAAAAAAAUAUUAAAUAUCUAAAAUCUUUUUUAUUUGUUUGACAAUUUAUUUCAUAACAUAAUUUUAAAAAAAAAACUACUUAUUAAAUAAUUUUUUAAUUUUUAAUAAAAUUUUCAUUGGUAAUCAAAGAACUAAAAUUUUUUGAUAAAAAUUCUACUAACAAAAACUGUUCUUAAAGAAAUUUUGUUUGAAAAAUUAAACGAGCUAUUUAAUUAUUAUUUUCUUUUCAGAUGUGCCGAAACUAUUACUUGACGUUGACGAAAAGAAAAGUUUGAGCAGAGAAAUAGACCGACACGGUUGGACUCCACUCCAUUACGCUGCGUAUUUUGAUUGUUGUUUCACCUCAGGGGAUUUAUUCUGCUGUGUUGAUUCCUCACAAAGAUCGGAAGAUGACAGCUCUUCAUUUAGCAGCCGGCCAUGGGAAUGUUUGGGCGGUACAUGAAAUUAUUGACCUUUGUCCAGAAUGUUGUGAAUUGGUUGAUGACAGAGGAUGGAAUGUUCUUCACUUUGCUAUGGUUAGUUUUAGUAUUAGACAACUGAAAUACCUGCUGAACAAAUAUCCGGUAUUCAGAAAUCUAAUUUUUGAGAAGGAUGAGAAGGGGAACACUCCCUUCCAUGUGCUUGCUGCUGUCUGUCCACAUCCAGGCAAUGUCGGCUAUGACAUCGUCCCUUGGAAAAUUGCUAAAGGUUAUUAUCAAGCUGUCAACAAGAAAAAUAUUAGUGUUGAACACAUAAAUCGUUAUGGAUUUCCUGAACUCGGGGUACUUAGUGCCUUUUUUAACUCAUCAAUGUUAUAGUUUAUAUAUGGAUACUGAUAAAUUUCAAGAGUAUUGAAAAGGAUUAAAAGUUUUUAUUGACUUUUCUUCUUAAGGAACAAGAUCGGGUAUUUAUACACAAGUAGAGGAACUAUAUAUGGAAGAAACAUUUUACAGAAAUUAUGGGAUUAAUACUAAACUUAGUCGUUGACUAGCCGUUGGCUAAGAUAUGAAGAGAAUAUGGACUUGAAUAAUGGCUGGCCAUCUUUCUUUGGUGAGUUUGCAUGUCACGGGAUUGUGUGAGAUGAUUGUUGCAAGCCUUUGGCAAGAGCAAUACAGAUUGCCAUAUUUGUUUCCAACGGUUUGCAACUUGCCUUGUUAAUGUGGGAUUGAGUUGGUGUGCUGAUUUUUUCCAUGUUGGUGCGUGACUCAUGUGGCUGCAUGUGGUUCAUGUGUUGUGACUGUUCGAAUUCCACAUUUGGUGGGCAAUGUAUCUUAACAGAUACGACUAAUGAAAUUAUUGAUCUUUUUUCACCCGUGUAUUUAUAGUAAUUAUUUAUUUAGGAUUUAAUUAUACACAUAUCUCAUAUGAUGUGAAAAUAAAACAUUAUUUAUUCUGAUAACAUAUAAGAAAUUAAUUUUAGUAUGCGAAUUAAUAAAAUAUAUAGUCCAGUGCGUAGAUGUUGAUGCCAAGUCAAUUUUUCCUUCCCUUUCAUUAAACUCAUUUUCUUCUAGUUACAUUUAUAAUUUAGCAAAUAUGAUUGCAGAAAGAAAUUGAAGAAUUGUCCAAAGCUGAUGGCAGUGGACAAUAUCCAGACGGUGUCGUCCAGAUGAACAAAAAAAAAGUUCAUCCGUUUUGGAAAUAUUUAGAUGAAAAUGUCUUUGGAGUGGAAAAAGCAUCAGAAUAUCAUUUGGUAGUGGCAGCACUCAUAGCAACAGUAACCUUUGCUGCGGCAUUCACCUUACCCGGUGGUUACAAGAGUGAUACUGAAGAUGACCCAAACAGGGGCACUGCAAUUCUCAAUAAAAACGUAGGUUUCCAAGCAUUUGUUAUAUCAGACGCCAUAGCCAUGGUCCUCUCACUUUCUGCUGUCCUUUUCCAUUUCAUUCUGUCACUUAAGCUUUUUGAAAAAUCCACCUUUUUAUUCAGUUUUGCCCUUUGGUUGACGUUGGUUGCCAUGGCAGCAAUGAUAAUAGCAUUUGUUACAGGCACAUACGCAGUGUUGGCACCUUCUUUAGGGCUUGCCAUUGUCACAUGUAUCAUUGGCUUGACCUUCUUCUUCUUGGUGAUUUUCAUGUUUUACAAGGUUAGAUCAAAAGCAGAGGAAAAGUUAUUGUAUACCACUCUCUAGUACUAUAAUUAUGUUAGCAUCAUCCCACUGUUAUGAUCUGGAGUUAUAAGUUGUGAUUGAAAUUUGUUACACUAUCUUAUUUGGUGUAUUGCUUCAAGGUUGUAAAACGUUACUGAGAGCUUGAAAGAAAUGAUAUCAUCAAUUUAUGAUGCAGAAUUAGUUGUUGCAUAAGCAUUCCAAAUUAAUUUUAAUCAGGAAUCUUCACCGGCGGAAUGAGUAUUAGUCAUUCGAAUGGGUAAAGUUUCUUCUUAACCUAAUUAAGAGGAGAAACAAAUUUGAUAUUUCAAAUUGUGAAGAGAUUUUUUCUUUCGAUAUUCUACCAUCAAAAUCAAUUAUAGAAUUCGAAACAAAUUAUAGUUUUGCAAUGUCUACAGUCUACUUAUGAAUUGCAUAAAGGAUAGAGCUGCAGACCUGCAGUUAGACAUAAGUUGACAAAGUUCGUACGAACGUACAGCCAGAUUCCAACUGCUAAUUUACACUUGCAUCUAAAUUUAAAAAUCAGCUAAUUACAAACCCGGAUAACCAGCUGCUAACAGUUUCCACUUUCAAGAGCUUGAGAAGGUCAACUGGAAAUUGCAACUAUUCAAAUGGUGAUAAAAAAGAGAUUCUUUUGAUAUGUUAUCCAGGUGCAAAAAUAAAAAAUGUCGCUCGAUGAUGAAGUGAAAGAACUAAAACCGCCGCAACAAACUGUGGCGGCCACACUCGUAGCAACAGUUGCCUUCGCUGCGGGGUUCAUAUUACCCGGUGGUUACUGGGCUCAAGAAGGCCCAAUUCCCAGCACUCCAAUUCUCAGAAAAAAUGCAGCUUUUCAAGCAUUUGUUAUAGCUAAUGCCAUGGCCAUGGUCCUCUCCCUUUCAGUUGUCUUUUAUCCAUUUCCUUACUUCAACUAAGACCCUUCGGCAAAUGACGUUUCUUGUCAAUGUGGCUCAUUGUUUCAUCCCGGCUUCCAUGUUAGCAAUGACGGUUGCAUUUGUUACAGGAACAUCCCCAGUGUUGGCACCUUCUGUUGGGCUUUCCGUUGCUACUUGUGUCCUAGGCUUGAGCUUCUUCCUCUUUGUGCUUUUCGCCAUGUUCAAGUUUGCUUAUGGAUUGGCGCAAAGGUUGCUGGGCUUCAUGAUAUAAUUAGAAAAAAACAAAUCUCCAUGUUGGAGAAAUUAGCAUGUUUCUGUCUCUGUUUCUAGUAGUUAAUAUGUAAUUUCCAUCUCUUCAAUCUUUAUUCUCAGUGUUAUAUUAUAUGUGUAUACACUACUACAACUGAGAUUGUAUCUAAUCCUCUUUUGUGUUGAGCUAUUAUCAUCAAAAGAGGAUUAAGUACAAAUACAAGGUCAACAUGAAAUUGCAAGUAGCAUAUUAACAUUCCAACAUUAGUAAUUAACUAAAAUACUCUUUAUAUUGUAUUGGUGAAAACUCUGUAAUAUAAGGUUAAUAUAAUCAAUUUUAUCAGGUGUUAAUGUGUUAGGAGCUUAUUUACAAAUAGAUAAAUAAUAUCUAAAAGAUAUGCAGUGAGUCUAGUUUUAGUACUAUGUUCUCAUAAACUUUUCCUCCUCUGAUUCCACCAUUUUGGAUUCUUGAACCUGGGCUGGCUUAUGCUAUCGAAACUGAAUAAACUUACUAAUAUAGACUCAAUUGCAAGUCUCAAAUCUUUUCUUUUUCUAAUUUGUAUAACCAAAAUUUUGUAAAAAAAAUAAAGCUUAUAUAAAAUUAUCAUACGUUUUCAUUGCAUCUUGAUACAAAUUGUUUCUUAACAAAAUGAUUGAGAAAAAAAUAUAAGAGACAACAAUGAAAUUUACAAUUUUCAGAUUAGGGAAUUGCAAAAUGCAAUGCUGAGACAACAAAAUAGCUUAGGUAAAUUAAUAUGCAACAAAAUAGAAGAUAGUAUCCAUCAUUUCUGUUUCUAAUAUGCUGAGAAACUAGCCCUCUAGGCUUAUAUAAAAGUCGCAACUACAUAUUCACAAGAUUUUUUUUUUUUUUUAAAGUAAUUUAUAUAAACCUCCUCUUGCUUAUACUGCAAGCAAAUGCAAGUCCAUUCACUAUACCUGCAUAAUAUGUACAAGCAUUUACAAGUUAAUAUCAUCAGUUCCAGCCCGACCAGAUAAUGAAACUGGUCCAAGUGAUUCACCUUCUACUCUACCAAAUACCAAAUACUUCUUUUUUAGAUUUCUCCCUUCGUCAAUCCAUUGCACUGCAGUCACCAAGAACUGGACCACUAAGCCAUUCCCUAUCUUUGCUUCUUGUUCAUUUGAGAAGAAUGGUUGUUCCCUAGGUUAACAUAGCAUACUUCACAGGACCACACCGCAAUAUGAAUAACUCCAUGCAAGAUUUCUCCCUUGACAGGCAAGAAAGUGCGACACAGAAAUGUUAAAGGGAAGAACACAACCCCUGACUCAUUCACAGUUCCUCGCUCUCUGCCGAUGCUCUUCAAGUUAGUUACUGAAAGAAAGUAACAGUGAUCCUUGCAAGCCUUCUCAUUUAUCAAGCCCUUCAACAGGCAUGUUACAAAUAUCGCUGAGGAACCUGCAACGCGUUUCUGUCCAAACUUUUAGCAGGCACUGAUACAUCCUGAGCAAUUCCACUUCGAAAGACAUUUCUCCUCUACAUCAAAACAACUAAAAUAAGUAGGACUAUUACAAAUUAACCAACCAGAAUUCUUCCAGAUUCUAUGCAUAUCAAUGCUGUUAAGAAAUCUAAUAGAAAAGAUGAAUAAGAAUACAAUGAUGCUGAUACCACUGUAUGCAUCCCCAACUGCGCCAUGACCUGGAGGUUAAUUUUAAAGCUAAUCAAGAUUUUAAACUUAGUAUUGUAUCCAUAAUACAAUCCACAAAAAUCGAAGAACGAACCAAUAAAAAGGUUGUACCAAAAAGAGAUAAAUCACUAAAGGAUCAUUUUCAGUUACAUUACGAAUGCUAUACAUUUUGAACAGAAUAAUUUAUUCCUAUCAACACAUCAGUGUUUCUUAUCAUUACACACAUCAGUAAUCUAUUUGGUUGUAUACAUACCUUCUCUUGCGUAUUGACUCAUGUUAGAUAUCUGAAGUAAUUUAUGCUAGCUAGCUCUUCAGUAACACAAAAAACAGCCAAAAGUACCAGCACUCUCUGCAGCUAACAUGAAAAAGAACUCAACAUUACCAACAAAAAAUUUCAAGUAUCAUAACCAUUUCUAAAGAUCCCAUUUCACAACAUUCACUAUAAAGGCCUUCACAAUAUAGCAAGUGACUAGGAAUAAAUAAGAAUAUAGAACUCUCUCUCUAAUUCUCAAUCUAGCUUUUAAUUGUCACUCAAAACCCCGAAUUUAUCCUUAAAAGUGUAAGCAAAUCAGAGAUGACAGCGUCUGGUUGUCAUACGCGCCUUUUAGUUUCCCGAUGACAUGGCGUACACUUCUUCUGUAAACCCAACACGACAUGUCGUACUCUUUGUUUUGAGAUCAUAUUUCAAACUCUUCAUGUUAUGAAUGAAACAUAAACUACAAUCAUCAAAACAUUUAGUGUUUAUUUGGUAAUGUAACGUCACGAUUGUUGUGAAUUGAAAUUAUUUCUGUAAAAUAAAAGGAUUUGGGUCAUUGUUUGUUAUUUUCUAGUAAUAUUUAUUAUAUAUUAAAAAAUAAAUUUAUAUUUAUUAAGUAUAAAAAAUAAAUAAACAAAUAGAAAUAGAAGGAAAAGUUUAUACAUUUCGUAAAAUAAUAAGAACAAUAUCAAUAUUUCACACUCUAUAAUUGAGUGAUGUGUUGUCCAACUGCCAUACAUUGGUCCCAAACGGAGACUUAAAUAUCAAAGUCUACAGUUAUUGUGAUGAUGAUUUAUAAUUGUCGAACUUGACAUUAUAAGGUAAUCAUGCAUUAUAAGGUGCUGAUUUCUUCUGAUCGGAACCUUAUUUUUCAUUUACAAAUAAAUAAAUGAUGUGACUUUCACAGAAUAUUCAUGCAAAAAAACAAAAAACAAAAUAUCAUAACUGUAUUUCAAAUUGUCAAUGUUCUAUAACAUAAAACAAAAAAUUUGUUUUAAAAAAAAAAGAAAAAGAAAAAGAAAAGACCUCUGUUACAUGAAAAAGAAAUUUCCAUUCUAUAGAACGAAUAUUAUACUUUUAUAUUAGAAUAGAAGGACACUUUUCCUUGGUGCUACUCCAUGUAGUUCUUAAAAUUCGUACCUUAAUUAAUGUCAGUAAGUAAUAUAGGAUUUUUACAUGUAAUAGUUUUGUAAGUUUAGGAGUAAAACUUGGUCACAAUAGGACUGGACAAGUCUUGUGUUAAUAUUUUACUCUUUUUUAUUUUACUUUUAAAAGAUUUUCCAAUGCAUAUUAAUCUCUUCAAAAUAUUUUGAUUUCUAUUUUCUUUUCAGUUAAGAAGCUGAUAAUAUUUAUAUAUCUAAUUUCUCUGUUUUUAUAAUUUUAUUUUUUUAUUCAUUUUUUAUAAUCCAAAUACUAUUACCUUAGAUAUUUUUCCCCGCCACAGAUAACGUAGCCAUGCCAAAAUAGUCUUGAGAAAUAUGUCAGCGUCUAAUUGCUGCUGAGCUUCCGAAACCCAAAGCCUCAAAUUCGUAGCCUCAAAACAGUGGCAAUUCGAUGCCUGCUUUUUCACUAAAUUUAGUUUUUGCGCAGAAGAUCUUUAGCUAAUUAAUGAUAUGGCUCGAGUCCCUAGUCGCCAGUUCUGCCCAGCAACAGCCAUAUUCGAUUCGUUUCAAUCAUCCUUUUCAAAGUUCCACGGUACCCAUUUUCAUUUCUUCAGGUGCGGUUACACAAUUCCUCUUAAAAAUAAUUUCUUUUAUAAAAAUUCUUCUUCAAACUCUGCCCAUGAAAAAAACCCGCCAAGAAAAAUUUGUUCUUUAUCCAGGAAUAAAUUUUUUUUUUCUCAACAUGAUAAAGAUGAGAAUGCCAACUUAUGUUCUAGCAGCAGUUGGUUAGAUAAAUGGAACAAACCCAAUAAGUAUAACCACCUGAAACCUCCUCAGGCACGCGAGAAUCUUAGAAAAAAUAAUGGUAAUGGUGUUGGUGGUGUUGAUGAUGGUGGUAAUACCAUGGGGAAGAUUGUGGAGAAACUGAAGAAAUUUGGUUACGUUGGUGACGGUGAUGGUGAGGGCAAGGAAAGAGAGAGUGAUUGAAAAAGGGUCUAGAGAGGAUAUAUUUUGUUUGGAAGAAGGAUUGUUGCCGAAUGCAGGAGGGUGGUUUUCAAAAGUAUACCCGUUGGGGUUAGGAGAGGAGGUAGGGGGUGACGGAGAAGUGAAGUUUCCAUGGGAGAAGCGGGAGGGAAGAUUUAUGUUACAAAUUUUUUUAAAAUGUAUAUAUUGAUGCAUUCACUGCAUUUCUUUUUAACUUAAUUUCAAUUGAUCGUAUAUUACGUUGCAUUACGAUCCAAAUUGCUUCUUCAGAGAAUUAGUGAGAAAUUAUGAAAGAAAAAAUAAUUUAAUUUGCUUUCCAAUUCUAUUUUUUUUCCCCAAAAUCAAGGCAAAUUAUGCGAGGCCCAAAAUAUUAUUUGUUUUGCCGUGAAAUUUAGAAACAAAAAAAAAAUACCUGGACAGAUACCGAACACCCCACGCCUCAUUCACAGUGCGCAGGAAGAAGUUUGACUACUGGGAAUACGAGAGGUAUGGAAUUGACCCUUGGCCGAUGUCCUUCAAGUUGGUCACUGCAAAAACAGAAAAUUUUUAGAAGGGAGUGCUAAAAUCUGAUUAUGAAUUGUUUAUAUGUCAUUUUUACCCUCUUUGAUUUUUCCUAAUCCCAAAAUAACCUUCCGUCAAUAUUUAAAUUUAAUUACCUUAUUAACUAUGAAAUAUUUAUUUGAAUUUUAUUCAAUAUAAAAAAAAAAAAACUGAAAACCAGAGGCUACCGUCGCCGGCGGGGAGCGGCCAUUGUUGACAUUGGCAUUCAAGCUUGUGAAACAUUGUUAGCAUAAAAAAAAAAGAAAAAAUCGGAAUCCAACGAUCUAUGCAACGGAGUGAAUAUUUCCAUCCACAGCGGUGCGGUUUCACGGCGGAGAUGCUGCAACCUUCCUCAUGAUUUGCGCGUGUAGUAGGAUUGGCCAUUUUCUGACAAAAUCUUACCCUAUAUUUGAGCACAUCAUGAUCUUAGGGUUUGAUUGGUGUAAGUGGUAUUGAUAACGGACCAUUUCCGGCAGUAUCUGAAAUUUUGACCGCUGCAUGCGGUGAACUUGUUCACUAUUUUCCGACGGUCAUGAUAGUAAGGGUCUUAUCGGCGAACUAGGAUUUCAAUGAUGAUGGCGGUGCGUUCUGAGGGCGACAUCCUUCUUCAUCGCCAGUGAUUGGCCGAUGAGCUAUUUUCAAAAUUUCCGGUGAUCUAUUUUCAAUUUCUUAGUAAUUUUUUUUUAAAUUUAAAGUGAAUAUAAACACAAGUUAAUUAUUUUUUGAAAUAUGAACAGAAAGUUAACAAAAAAAAAAAAAAAAGAUCGUACUUAACGUAACGAUUUAAAGAAAAUUUAAAUUGAAAGUUGAAAAACAUAAAAAUAUUUCUUUAUUGAAUAAUUUGCUUCGAAAUAAAUUUUAAUUUUUUGAUUUAAAAUUUUAAUUGUUUGUAAUAUAACCAAAUAAUAUCAUUAGUUCACUUUCGUCAUUUCAAUUUACAUAUUUCUUUUUAUUAUUAAUUUACCAAACAUGCAUCUCAAAUUAUAUUAUAAAUUAUUAUGGUAUAAUUUGAAGAAACUUGUUUCUCAUUUCUUAAAAUAAAACAUUAUACAUUGAAUGUUAUUUAUAGAUGCAGAGACUAUAUUUUUUUCAAAGAUUACAUACGUGAUUACGGAAGGAAAUAUGUCAAUUUGUUCGGUGCAGAUUGUGUCUUUAACAAGUGCGGAUCAGGCUUUUGUCAAGUGCAGAUCAUACCUUUAAAAAAUUUCUUCAAUGUCGUUUUAUUUGACAUUCUCAAUAUAAUUUUAAUUUACAAACAUGCAUUAAGUUAUUAAUAAAACUGACUACUUCAAAAUCUAUCCUAAAAUAGAUUAUUUGAGAAGGUAAUGCAAUCCUAAACAUACCCAUAAUCAGUAACCCAAUAGCAAGAGCGUUACAUAAAAAAGAGGCAAAGAAUAAGGUACAUAAUAUAGCUUCGUCUACUCUCGAGUCAUUUUGGUUCUUUGCCCGCCUGACAAAAAGUGAAAGAAAAAUGUCAAUUGUCAAAUGUGAUGGGGCAAGCAAAGGAUAUCGAUCGAUCAGGCGGCAAGCUGCAGUAUUUAAAGAUAUCCAGGUCCAGGAUUAACUAGUAAGCGUCAAACAAUUACUUAAAUAAACCAUCACAUUCGCAAACAUAAAUCCUGAUUUGUACAGAGCUGCAGCUAAGGGUGAAAUUGAACCCUUCAUCGAAAUUGCAAAAGAUGAACUUGUAAGCAUGGUGACUCACGAUGAGAAUACGGUCCUUCAUGUCAACAUUGCAUCCCACCAAGAAGGAGCGAGGGUAUCCAACGGAGUUCGUGCAACGGAUACUUGAAAUUUGUCCAUCAUUGCUACUGCAAGUUAAUGACAAAGGUGAUUAAUAUUUUUUAAUAUUUAAUAACAAAAUAUUAAAUAAAUAUUAUAAUCUAUCGUUCCAUUAUUAUAUCUUCAAAAAAAAAAAUCUUUCAUUUUAGUAUACUUUCAUUAAUUAUCCUUUAUUGUUACUAGUUGUGGUACUGCAACUCGCAAAGCUAGUCUUAAUAGAGAUCAAUUCAAUGUUAAUAACUGACAUUAAAGCAGUGAAAAUGAGUGACAUACAAAAACAAGAUAAAAUAUUAAGUGCCAACCCCCUUCUUGUUUGUUAAAAUAUAGCGAAAACCUCAUGUCGUCAGUAUUAUAAAUGUUUCAAAAUUCGGAGUUAUCAUAUAAAUUGGGUGUUUAAAUUCGAUUAACAGAUUUGAUUUAUUCAAUAAUUAACGAUAGAGUAGCCACUCCUCCCUUCUCGCUUCUAUGCUUCGUGAGUCCUUUGUAACCUAAUUCUCAUUAACAACGGAUUUGCUCUAAUCUUUACCCAAGGGAUGUGUCUGAGGUCCAUUAGAUCCACAUUUCUUUUGCAACAAAGCCGCUUACUACAUUACCUUAGGCCCCUUAGCAAAUGGCUAUUUACUUAUUAGACCAUUUGCUAGUGGUUAAAACUCUUCUUCCUUUAUAGAUAGAAUGAAUGACUUUGAAUUUUAUUAGAAACCUCAUUUUUUUUUUUUUGGUAAAUAUAUUUUUGUAAGGGUUAAGUAGCUCCGAUAAUGACUUAAUGUAAUGAGAGUAAACUGUAAUAUAAAAUUAAAAAAAAAGGUUUAUAUUAUUUAAUUAUCAAAUGGCUAGGCUUUGGAGUUUUUUUUUUUUUUUUGGGAGGGGGGACAAAAAAAUUCUUAUUAGAUAGAACAAAAUUUAAAAAAUGACAAGUGUCGCAAAAAAUCUUCCAUCAUUACAAUACAACUACGGGAACGAACUAUAAAGUUAGCUAAAGCAACUUCAUCACAAUUAGCUUAGGAGAAAAUUUUGAUCUCUAGAGAGUAUAUUAAUUAUCAAAUAAACAGAAACACCGUUAAAAAUAUAAAUAAAUAAAAUAAAGAUAAAAUCUCUAAAUAGGUUAUACUUUGUCAUAUGUAGAGCAGGAACCUUAUUAUGAAUCAUAAAUAAAAAUAUAUAUUAGUUAUAUUAUAAAUUUCAUUUAUUUAAAAUCAAUUCUUACAACGUUCUAAAAUGUCAAAUUAUUAAAUAAAAUUCUACUAUUGCUAAUUUAUGAAAUUUUAAUUCAAUUAUAUCAUUUUCACUUAUUGUUUCUUUACUCAAAUUACAUCUUUUUUACCACUCUUUUUUUCGAUUAAACUAAUUUUCCUAUUUUCUAUUUUUUAAAGUUUUUCGACACAGUUUUAUUUCAAAAUGGAUAAAAUAAGCACACAAAUAAUAAUAAUAAUAAUAGCAGAUGAACAAAAUAAUAAAUUAAAAAGAAAUAAGAACAAUUAAAUAACAAAACUAAUUAAGAGAAAAAUAAAAAGAUAAAAUCUGAAAUUUGUGAUGAAAUUAUAAACUAACUUUAUCUUUAAUUGUUUGAGAAUUUAAGCAAUGAGUAGUACUAGGGGUGUUCAGAAUCUAAUUCGAUCCGCUAAAUCCAUAUGGUCCGUAGAAAUUCGAUCCAUAAAAAUUCGAUUUGUAGAUUGGUGGAAUGGAUUAGAUUUGAAAAUUUGAAAAUCCACAGUCAUUGCAUUGGAUAUGGAUUUACUUAUGUGAAUCCGCAAAAAUCUGCGAAUCCACAAAUAAAUAAAAAAUAUUUAUUUAAUAAAAAAUUAAACUUGUAAAUAUGGAAUUAUACUUACUAAUAAAUAAAUAAGUUAAAAUAUACACUAACACCAUAUUAUGUCUUCUCUGAUAAUAAUAUAAAAUAAAAAUAAUUAAAUAAAAAACAUAACUUUCUAAGCAAUUAAUUUUCAUGUAUUGAUCUAAACAAAUAAGAUUUUUUUCUUUUUGGUGUGUUAUAUUUUAAAAUUUUAAAUGUAUUUUCUAACUUUAUUUAAAUAAUUAUUUAAAUAUUAUUUAAUUUUGAAUUUAAUUAGUAGUAAAAUUAUUUUUGUAUUAAUUUUUUUAUUCAAAGUUUGAAACAUUCAAUCAAAAUCUCUUUUCUCUCCCUUUUCCUUGUAGCGGGUUUAAAAAUCAGUAUUAUCGCAAUGUGGGCUCAUUCAGUUAUUGGAUCAACUAAUGAGAUACAACCUGAAUAGAAAAUAGGCAAUGCUCUUCGUUAUUACGUACAGAAGGUAACAAAAUUCUCCUCUGCCACUUCCUCCUCCCUUCGACAGUGGCUUCUCAACGAUCUUUUGUUAUAGGCGUUGGCACAAAUAAAGGACGUUGAUAAUUUAGGGAAAAAAUUAAAUAAAUAAAUAAAAAGGACCGUUGAUUAAUGCUGUCGGUAAUAAAUUAGUGUUGGAUGGGUAGACUUGCGCCUUGACGCAAAAUACUGGAAAGAACAAGCGAACCUGUAAUUCUUGAUAUCUAUGAUGGAGGUGUUGUGAUUUUUCUGGUACCGUGGCUGUUGUAAAAGAAAAAAAAUAAUAAUUAUAAAAUAAAAAUUAAUAGUAUAUAGUAAAUACAAUUUUUAAAUAAUAAUUUUAAUAAAAUUAAAAAAAUAUAAUAAAUUUUUAUUAUAUAAAUAUAAAUUUAAUUUAAUUUUUAAAUUAUAAUAAUUAAUAUUUAUUAAAUACUUUAAUAUUAUAAUUUUUAUGUUACAAUUUUUUUACCUCAAUUUCAAACAACACCUCAAUCGAAUUAGUUGGCAUCAAGAUUCUUCUCCAACCAGAGAGGAACAUCAUAAAAAAUAAUUGUGAGAAUAUCAAUGGGGCUUCAAUUGUUCAAACAAGUCCACGCACUUUUUCUCAUUUAUUUGUCUUUUUUAUACGUGACAAUUUCGUAUUUAGUUUGUCAACAUUUAUAUAUAUAUACAUAUACACACACACACACUUAUCAUAGAGUUUAUAUUUAUGUUAAUGCAUGUGUUACUAUUCAUUAAUUAAAAUAUGCUUAAAAAUGAUAAACGCCAAGGUUAAUAUCUUUGACGAAUUCAUAAAUUAUUUAAAAGGUAUCAUAAUUUAUUAUUUUAUUAUUAUAUUUAAAAAAAAUUCAUUUUACUACAUUUCACUUAAUACUGUUGGUCCUUUACUGUUACUAAUUGUAAGGUGACGGCUAAUGAAGCCAAUCCUAACAGAAAGUCGUUCAACGUCGAUGUCAUACCAACAUUGAAGGGGUAAAAAUGAGUUCACAUAUAAAACCAAGAUCAAAUCCUGUAAGCUAUUAUCGUUAAUUAUUGAAUAAAUCAAACAUGUUAAUCCAAUUUGGUGGUGUACACGUGCGAACAUAGAGAAGGUUGAAAAUAUUAAGAUGUGGACCAAUUUUAAAUUAUAACUCCGAAUCUCAAACGUUGAUAAUAUUCACAACAGGAAAAAAUUUUAAAAUAUAUUGGAGGUAAUACAAUCAACUAAUAUAUAUAUGACAUGUCUAUUUAGAUUUAAUAUAACCACACUUGAAUGAUAAUAUUUCGAAAUAAAUGCACACAUGUCAUAAUAUAAUUUAUUUAUUAUAAAUUGAUAUAAUAUCUCUAAUGUAUUUUAAAAUUUCUCAACGACAGGAGAUUUUGUUGAAUUUUGAAAUAUUAAGAGGUUUUCGCUAUAUUUUAAUAAAUAAGAAGGAGGUUUUACUCAUUUCCUUUAAAUUAAUUUUGUAAACUAAGGUCCAUUAUAUCCAUAUGACUUUUGCAACAAGCCCGCUUACCACAUUGCCCUUAGCUAAUAGCUAUUUAUUAUUUAGAGCAUUUGCCUGAUGGUUAAUAAUCUUCUUUCUUGGUAAAUAGAAUGACUUUGAAUUUUAUUACAAACCUCAUAUAUUUUCUUAAUAUAUUUAUGUAAGUGUGAAGUGCACCUGUAUCGGGUGCUCCGAUAGUAAUUUAAAUGAGAGUAAAUUGUAAUUUAAAUUAUGGAAAAAAAUAUUUGUAUUAUUUAAUUAUCAAAUGUUUAGGCUUAGGAGAAGGUGUUCUUUUUUCUUUUUAAAUACAAGAAUUAUCAAUAAAUAAGUAAAUAACAUCUCAAAAAUAACAAGUUAAGUGUUGUGAAAAAUCUUCCAUCCUUAAAAAAAAAGGAGAAUGAAUUGGAAAUUUAGCUAAAACAUAUACAGAUUUAUUAUAAUUAGUUUAGAAGAAAAUCUUACAAGUAGAUCCUCCUUUAGAAUUCAUAAAUUCUAAUAUUUAAAAAAUAAAUGUUAUGCUAAACGACAUCAUGUUGGUCCUACCUUCAGCUGAAGUGAUAGGGCGGCCGAUAGAAUUUUCUCCCGUGAGUAACGACAUAAUAUCUUAGAUUCGAAAUCUUUAAAGACAAAAUUAGAAAGUGGUGUAAUUAUAAUGUUUGGCACAAAUGUGGCAAAGUAUAAUGGGAUAAGUCCAUUGAAGCCAGGUUAGCUCGUGAACAACGUGUGAUCUAUUAUUAUGUAUUGUCGUGGAAAAGGAGACGUGUCUAGUUGUAAAGCGAAGUCUCGGACAGUGAAAGUCUGAAGUAAAGACCAUUGUUGAUUGACGAUGUCGGUAAUAAAAUAAUCCUGGAUGGCUAGACUUGGGCGUUGACGCCGAUUACAACGAAAAGAGAGAAAAGAUUGAAAACGAAGGUAAAAUAUCUUUAAAUAAGUUUAAUCUCCAUCUCAAUGAUAACAAGUUUAAGUGAUGUUAAAAAUCUCCCUUUAUUACAAAACAAUUACGAAGAUGAAGUACAAACUUAGAUAAAUAAAGUAUCUAUAAUAUUAUUAUAAAUGGCUUAAGAGAAGAUCUUAUACCUUAAAGAGCAUUAUAAUUAUUAAAUAAAACAAAUAAACAAACCAAAAAAAUAGAGACGGAGAAUCUUUGGAUACAUGAUUAAUUAAGUAAUCAUGAGUUGUCGAUCCUUUCAUUGACAAACUACACUGACAUGAUGAGAUCGGCAGAACAUGAGUUGUAGAUUCUUUCAUUGACCAAGACGGCGGCAGGCUGGUCCAUAGAAUUGUUUCUGAAUUGUCUAUUAGAUUAGAAUUCUUUGACAGUGAUAUAAUUACAUUACUGAGUAAUGGAAUCAAAAGUUACGGAGUUAUUUCAUUGUCAAAUGGAGAUAAACAAAGAAUCUCUGUAUAUGUUAUUUAAACAAUUAUUAGAGACAUACAACGCACCAUGUGAUCCGUAAUUAUUGUAAAAAUAAUCUAGGUCAAACUUAUCAGCUAGCUGAGUCCCGUAUCAAAUUUUGCAGCCUUACUUUACUAUAAUUGUAAAAAUACUCUAGGUCAAACUUAUCAGCUAGCUGAGUAAAACAACGUACAAUAAUGAACUGACAAAUAAAAUUCUUUAAGGAUAGACUCAAAAGAGAGAGUUGUAGGGGGAUCGGACAUCAAAACAAAUUUGUUAACCUAUUGUGCCAGUUUGGAUCUUUUUAUUUAGCUGGAAAAGAAAAAGGAAAAUAAUAAUGGAACAAAAGUAUGAUAAAAUCAUGACAAAAAUGUUUUUUAUGAAUUUUUAAAAUUUUCUUUCGUAAUUUAACAUAUUUCUUUUUAAAAAAUUCUCAAAAUUAAUUAAAUUAUAAAAGUUUUUAUCAUUAUUUCGUCAUACUUUUAUUCAUCUAGAAUUGCUGAAGGUAAAAAAUGAUUGACGCUAUCGAUAAUAAUAUAAAAUAAUAUUGAAUGGCUUGACUUGGCCGUUGACGUCUUGGCGCCGAAGACGAAAAAAAGAAGAAAAUAAUUGGUACGGAUUGAACAAGCGAAAAGUCACAGAAAAAUAAUAAUUACAGUUUUAUACGAGACAUUAUUGACUAGCGGCAGCGGGGUUCAAAUAAACCUUUCCCCACCCAUUUUUUAAAUAAAAAUUUAUAAUAUGUAAUAAGUAUAAUUUUUAAAUAAUAAUUUUUAAAAAAUAUAAUUAAUUUUUAAUAAUUAAUUUAAUUUUAUACUACAACAAUUAAUUUUUAUUAAUUAUUUUAAUGUUAUAAUUUUUAACUUACAAUUUACAAACCAUAAUUUUAAAUAUAGUCGUAUUCGAAUUAGUUGGCGUCCAUACUCUUCACCAAACCACAGAGAAAAGUAAAAAAAAAUAAUUGCGAGAAUAUCAUGGGAUCCAAACAAUACUACUAGUCCACGCACUUUUUCUUGCUUUCACAUUUGCUUGUCUUUAUGGACGUGAGCAUUUCGUAUUUUCGCGUUUAGUUUGUCAUCACUUUUUUUAUAUGUAUAUUUAUCAUACAGUUUAUAUCCAUAUUAGUACGCGUGUCACUGUACAUUAAUUAAAAUAUGCUUUAAAAAAUAAUAAACAAUAAGGUUAUUGUCGUUUGACUAAUUCAUAAAUUAUUUAAUAAGUAUGUUAAUUUAUUAUUUUAUUAUUAUAUUAAAAAGAAAUUUUCAUUUUACUACAGUUCAUUUGAUACUGUUGGUCCUUUAUUGUUACUAAUUGAAGGGGUAAAAAUGAGAUCACAUAUAAGACCAAUACCAAAUUCUAUAAGUUACUCUAUCGUUAAUUAUUGAAUAAAUCAAACGUGUUAAUCCAAUUUAGAGGUGUAUACGUGAUAGCACAGAGGAGGUUGAAAAUAUUGAGACGUGGGCCCAUUUUAAAUUAUAACUCUGAAUUCCAAACGUUAAUAAUAUUCACGAGGGAGAACAGCUAACCAAACAAGCCCACUAGCUUCUUCCCCACCACUUGUACUCAAAAACUCAAAUAUCAUGAACUCUGAUCUGUACGAGGCUGCUGCAAAGGGGGAAAUUGAACCCUUCAACCAAUUGGCGAUAUUUUUAUGAAACUUUCUGCUUACUUAUAAUAUAAAAAAUUUAAUUUAUUUUCUGACACUCUUUUUCAUUUACUAUUUUUUUGUAAGUAUCAAAAGAGUUUCUAUUUACAACCAUGAUACAUUAAUUAUCAUAACACUCUAAUAUUAAUAAAAAGACAAAAACAUCCUUAAAUUAAAACCAAAAAAUCGCUUUCCUCUUUUGAGGAAUUACAGUAUCUCAUCUUCCAUAACUCAUUAUCAACAAAAAUUUCAAGGAUAUGACCAUUCAUCUUCUUUAUAAUAUCAUCUCAUAAUAAUUAAUACUUUCAUGAUAAAAGAAUUAAUAAAAUAAAAUAUAAAUUCCCUUUGAAUCUAUCCUCUCCAUUAUUUAUUUCUCUUUAUCAGCAACCUUUAUCGACAAUUAAUACCGCCAUUAGACUCAUCACAGAGAGAAUAAGAGAGAGGAAGAAGAAACGGGAAGAAAACUAUAUGAAACUUUUACAAUUUUAUAGUGUGUUCACUAAAUGGGAAUCGAAAUGAACUGAAAUCAGAUUGAGGUGGAAUCAAAAUGAGGAAUUAAAAUCAGAAUAAGUUAUUUACUUAAACUAUAGAAAUCGUAAUUAAAACGAGUUGUAUUAUCAUUAAUUUGUUUAUCUUGUCUUGAAAUUAAAAUUGGAAUGAAUUAAAUUAUAAAAACUUACUAUAAAAUACUUAAUUAAUUUUUAUCAUAAUUAUUAUUUUAUACUUUAAUUAUUGCGAUUAUUAUUAUUCAAGAAAUUAAUUAUUAUUAAUAUUAUUGUUAAUCAUUAUUAUUAACAAUUAAACUAAAAAAUUACUAUUAAUUAGUGAUAAUAUAUUAAUUAAUUAGAUCACUUUUUACUGUUGUUAAUAAUAAUAAUAAUGAUAAUAAUUUUUUUGAGUUAAUUAAAUGGAGGGUAUUUAGGGAAUUUAAAAAUUAUGAGGGUCGAGUUUGAUAUUCUAAGGGUUUUAAUAAAAUAAAACAGAGUACGAGGGGUUCAACGAAAUUUUACAGUAACUGGUUCAGAAAAGACAAAAGCUGCUGUAACGUACUACGGUGGUAGCAUAGGCGGAUCCAAGAAAAGAAAGGGGUACUUAACUAAUUUUUUAAUUUCAGUUGGUCAUAUUUAAUUAGUGUAUGCCCUCUAGUUUUAUAGCCAACCAAACAAGGCCACUGGCUUCUUCUGCACCAUACCAUUGUACGCAUUCUGUACUCAAAAACUCAAAUAUCAUGAACUCUGAUCUGUAUGAGGCUGCUGCAAAGGGGGAAAUUGAACCCUUCAACCAAUUGGCGAUAGAUCGUCAACUUGGAAGCCUAGUGAUUCACAAAAAGAAUUCCGUCCUGCACGUCAACAUAAUUGCAUCCUACACCCAGAAUAAAGAAGGAGAAAGUGUCUCAACCGAGUUCGUGGAACAGAUACUUGAAAUGUGUCCAUCAUUGCUACUACAAGUUAAUGCCAAAGGUGAUGCCCCACUCCAUGCUGCGGCCAAAUGCGGAAAUGCUGCUGUUGUGAGAGCUCUGAUUGAGUUUGCGAAACAAGAGUUCGAUCAAGAGAUAGAAAGUGGCGAGAAAAGUACAGCAAGGCUUAUGCUAGGGAUGAAAAAUCUUGAAGAAGACACAGCGUUGCACGAGGCAGUGCAAAGUGGUAGUCUUGAUGUCGUGAAAAUUUUAUUGGGAGCAGACCCUGCUUUUCCGUAUUCUGCUAACGGUAGCGGUGAAACUCCACUUUACUUGGCAGCCGCGAGGGGACAUGCGGAGAUAGUCAAGGAAAUAUUACAAAAAUGUCCGUUGGCGGCCCGUGAAGGCCCCAAUGGAAAGACUGCCCUUCAUGCAGCAGUCUGCAGUUACUCUUACCCUUACGGUAUGGAUGCGCAUGCUUUCAUACAAUAUUUAAUACCAUAAUUGUUUUUUAAAUUUUUCGGUUUUUUAAUAAAUUUUUUAAAGAUUAAAUAACUUAUUCUAAUAAAAAUAUAAAUUUUAACCUUUUAAUAGCAGAGUUUGAAAACUUUUUAAAAUAUUUAAAUAUCUGAAAUAUUUUUUAUUUGUUUGACAAUUUAUUUUAUAACAUAAUUUUAAAAAAAUUAUUCAUUAAAAUAAUUUUAAUCAAAUUUUAUUGGCAAUCAAAAAAUUAAAUUUUUUUUGAUAAAAAUUUUACUAACAGGAACUAUUCUUAAAUGGAUUUUAUUUUAAAAAUAAUAUCAAACAUAAGCUUAGUUGUUUAAUUUUCUUUUCUUUUUAGGUGUGAUAAAACUAUUACUUGACAGAAAGAAAAGUUUGACCAGAGAAAGAGAUAAUCGCUUGGUCAUCUCAAAGUGUUUAUUAGAAGCUGAUAAAUCUGUUGCGUUGAUUCCUGAUGAAGAUCGGAAGAUGACAGCUCUUCAUUUAGCAGCCGGCCAAGGGGAGGUUUGGAUGGUACAAGCAAUUAUUGACCAUUGUCCGGAAUGUUGUGAAUUGGUUGAUUACAGAGGAUGGAAUGUUCUUCACUUUGCUAUGGUUAGUUUUUAUAAAAGUGACUUGAAACGUCUGCUGAACAACUAUCCGAUCGUCAGAAAUCUAAUUUUUGACAAGGACAAGGAGGGGAACACUCCCUUCCAUGUGCUUGCUGCUGUCUGUCCGCAUCCAGGCAAUGCCGGCUAUGGCAUCAUCCCUAGGAAAAUUGCUAUAGGCUAUUAUCAAGUUGUCAACAGGAAAAAUAUUAGUGUUGAACACAUAAAUCGUCAUGGAUUUCCUGAACUCGAGGUACUUAAUUCCUUUUUUUAACUCAUCAAUGUUAUAAUUUAUAUAUGGAUACGACUAAUAAAAUUAAAUUUUAUUUUUAAAUUUAUCAUCCCUUACAAAAUUGCUAAAGGUUAUUAUCAAGCUGUCAACAAGCAAAAUAUUAGUGUUGAACACAUAAAUCGUUAUGGAUUUCCUGAACUCGAGGUACUUAAUUCCUAUUUUAAUUCAUCAAUGUUAUAAUUUAUACAUGAAUACGACUAAUGAAAUUAAAUUUAAAAUUUAAAAUUUGGUUUUUUUUAUUGAUCUUUUUUCACCCGUGUAUUUAUAGUAAUUAUUUAUUUAGGAUUUAAUUAUACACAUAUCUCAUAUGAUGUGUAAAUAAAACAUUAUUUAUUCUGAUAUCAUAUAAGAAAUUAAUUUUGGUAUGCGAAUUAAUAAAAUACAUAGUCCAGUGCGUAGAUGUUGAUGCCAAGUCAAUUUUUCCUUCUCUUUCAUUAAACUCAUUUUCUUCUAGUUACAUUUAUAAUUUAGCAAAUAUGAUUGCAGAAAGAAAUUGAAGAAUUGUCCAAAGCUGAUGGCAGUGGACAAUAUCCAGACGGUGUCGUCCAGAUGAACAAAAACAAAGUUCAUUCAUUAUGGAAAUAUUUAGAUGAAAAUGUCUUUGGAGUGGAAAAAGCAUCAGAAUAUCAUUUGGUAGUGGCAGCACUCAUAGCAACAGUAACCUUUGCUGCGGCAUUCACCUUACCCGGUGGUUACAAGAGUGAUACUGAAGAUGGCCCAAACAGGGGCACUGUAAUUCUCAAUAAAAACGUAGCUUUCGAAGCAUUUGUUAUAUCAGACGCCA
rnacentral:lncRNA from 1 species